AUGAUAAAAAUAAUAAUUGUGGAAAGCAUAUCCAAAUUUGCAAUAGUGGUAGUAUCGCAAGCGGUAUUUCUUAGAAGAGCAAUAUUAUGUCCAAGGAACGAAACAGUUCGCGAUAUAAAUGAGUAUAUAAUGGAUCAACUACAAUGUGAAGACAAAACUUAUUUAAACUGCAACCCAGUAUGCAAAGCAACAACCAUCAAUACAGAGACGAAAAUGCUAUAUCCAGCACAAUUACUGAAUAGAUUAUUGUUUCCCGUAAUCCUAAAUCACAAGCUCAAAUUAAAAGUUGGAAUACCUGUGAUGCUCCUGCGUAAUAUCAACCAAAGUGAUGGAUUAUGCAAUUGUGCAAGGAUGACAAUUUCAACUUAUAAAAAAUUCAUCAAAGCACAAAUAAUAACAGGAACACAUGUAGGAUAUAUGGUAUAUAUAUUCCAAGAAUAG
rnacentral:rRNA from 1 species